CCAAAGGCUCUUUUGAGAGCUACCUUUAGAUAAUUUGUGUAAGUC
rfam:Cavia porcellus supercont2_39 genomic scaffold, whole genome shotgun sequence.